AUGAACGCUGGCGGCGUGCCUAAUACAUGCAAGUCGAGCGAACGGACGAGAAGCUUGCUUCUCUGAUGUUAGCGGCGGACGGGUGAGUAACACGUGGAUAACCUACCUAUAAGACUGGGAUAACUUCGGGAAACCGGAGCUAAUACCGGAUAAUAUUUUGAACCGCAUGGUUCAAAAGUGAAAGACGGUCUUGCUGUCACUUAUAGAUGGAUCCGCGCUGCAUUAGCUAGUUGGUAAGGUAACGGCUUACCAAGGCAACGAUGCAUAGCCGACCUGAGAGGGGGAUCGGCCACACUGGAACUGAGACACGGUCCAGACUCCUACGGGAGGCAGCAGUAGGGAAUCUUCCGCAAUGGGCGAAAGCCUGACGGAGCAACGCCGCGUGAGUGAUGAAGGUCUUCGGAUCGUAAAACUCUGUUAUUAGGGAAGAACAUAUGUGUAAGUAACUGUGCACAUCUUGACGGUACCUAAUCAGAAAGCCACGGCUAACUACGUGC
rnacentral:rRNA from 1 species